GUUAUAAAAAAUUUACUAAACCAUAGUUAUUAUAUACUAAAAUUUAGCAAUCUUAAAUUAUUCAUUUCUUUUUUUGUACGAGGGAUUGAACCCAGGGGUUUUACCACUGAGAUACAUCCUCAGCCCUUAUUUAUUUAUUUAUUUUUCUAUUGAGACAGUGUCUCACUAAGUUGCUUAGGGCCUCACUGAAUUUCGAGGCUAGUCUCAAGACUUGAGAUCCUCCUGCCUCAGCCUCCCAAGUUGCUGGGAUUCCAGGCAUGUACCAUCUCCUCCAGCUUAAUUUACAGUUUAAUGAGUUUUGGCAAAUGUAUUAAUCACAUUUGUGAUAUAAAUCAUUCCCAUUGUCCCUAAAGUUCCCAUGUAUGUCUGUGCAGUUAAUCCUCUCUACUGUCCUUGGCAACCCAAGGAAACCUCCAUCUCAGCUGCUUUAAAUCACCAGUUUUGCUAUUUCUAGAAUUUCAUGUAAAUGGUAUUCUCAUUAUGUAUUUGUUAUACCUUUUGUAAUUGUCAUUCCAUUCUUGGAUGUUUUGUUUGUUUUUGUUUGCAUUUCAGUUUUGAAAGUUUAUAUUAUGAUAUCUUUUUUGGGGGCGGGGGUACCAGGAAUUGAACUCAAGGGCACUCUGCCACUUAGCCCCAUCCCAGCCCUAUUUAAAAUUUUUUUUAUUUUAAUUUUUUUAAAAAUAUUUUUUUAUUUUAUUUUAUUUUUUUAGUUUUUGGC
rnacentral:lncRNA from 1 species